rnacentral:rRNA from 1 species
CCUACGGGGGACAGCAGUGAGGACUAUUGGUCAAUGGACGAGAGUCUGAACCAGCCAAGUAGCGUGAAGGAUGACUGCCCUAUGGGUUGUACACUUCUUUUAUAAAGGAAUAAAACGAGGCACGUGUGCCUUUUUGCUUGUACUUUAUGAUUAAGAAUCGGCUAACUCCGUGCCAGCAGCCUCGGUAAUCCGGAGGAUCAGAGCGUUAUCCGGAUUUCUUGGAUUUUAAGGGACCGUAGAUGGGUGGUUAAGUCAGUUGUGAAAGUUUGCGGCUCAACCGUAAAAUUGCAAUGGAUACUGGCAGUCUUGAGUACAGUUGAGGUAAGCGGAAGUCGUGGUGUAGCGGUGACAUGCUGAGAUAUCACGAAGAACCCCGAUUGCGAAGGCAGCUUACUAAACUGUGACUGACAUUGAUGCUCGAAAGUGUGGGUAUCAAACAGGAUUAGAUACCCCAGUAGGC